rfam:Strongylocentrotus purpuratus Contig58392_fixed, whole genome shotgun sequence.
UUCUUUGUGGUCUAGUGGUUAAGGCAUUGGCGUUCUUAGCCAGUGACCCGGUUCGAUUCCCGGCGAAGACA